rnacentral:rRNA from 1 species
UACGUAGGGUGCGAGCGUUGUCCGGAAUUAUUGGGCGUAAAGAGCGCGCAGGCGGUCGUGCAAGUCGCGUGUGAAAGCCCCCGGCUCAACUGGGGAGGGUCACGCGAUACUGCUCGACUCGAAGGCAGGAGAGGGAAGUGGAAUUCCCGGUGUAGUGGUGAAAUGCGUAGAUAUCGGAAGGAACGCCGGUGGCGAAAGCGACACACUGGGUCUCAACUGACGCUGAGGCACGAAAGCCAGGGGAGCGAACGGG